GGUUGUGGCUCAGUGGUAGAGUGCUUGCCUAGCAUGUGUGAGGCACUGGGUUUGAAUCUCGGCACCA
rnacentral:tRNA from 1 species